ACACAAAUUCUUGGGCAGCACCUUUGAAGGACAGCUGCCCAAGGGAUAAACAUCACUUGUUGACUAUAUAUUUUCACCCCUCCUUUAGUAAUUUCGUUUUUCUCAAGCCUUAGAACCUUAGAAACAUAUCUAAACAGAGUGUUCUUCAAAAUCACAAGAGAAACUUGGCCCUUUUUGGCUGGAAUUCAAGAACACACACUUCUUUUUGGUUGUAUAUACUCGUGAACAAGUUGAGGACCUUGAUACAUUGGUUGGACUGUUUCUUUGCUAAAGCACCGAGGGAAUGAUCGAGAGGAGGCAUGAAGCUGGCCAUUGGGGAUGGAAGAUCACAAUUGCAUAUAGACAUCUAUAUUUUGCAUAAACCUUGGGACUUGUACAUGAUCUAUGUGUUGUAUAAUUACAUGAAGUUUCGAGGACGAAUUUGAUCAUGUCACCAAGGGUUGUAAUAUAAGUAUGACUAUGUGUUUUGUUCUUUUGGGGCGUGAAAGCCCAAGUCUUGUAAUA